CCUACGGGUGGCAGCAGUGAGGAAUAUUGGUCAAUGGGCGCGAGCCUGAACCAGCCAAGUAGCGUGAAGGAUGACUGCCCUACGGAUUGUAAACUUCUUUUAUAAAGGAAUAAAGUGAGGCACGUGUGCCUGUAUGUAUGUACUUUAUGAAUAAGGAUCGGCUAACUCCGUGCCAGCAGCCGCGGUAAUACGGAGGAUCCGAGCGUUAUCCGGAUUUAUUGGGUUUAAAGGGAGCGGAGAUGGGUUGUUAAGUCAGUUGUGAAAGUUUGCGGCUCAACCGUAAAAUUGCAAUUGAUACUGGCAGUCUUGAGUACAGGUGAGGUAGGCGGAAUGCGUGGUGUAGCGGUGAAAUGCAUAGAUAUCACGAAGAACUCCGAUUGCGAAGGCAGCUUACUAGACUGCCACUGACAUUGAUGCUCGAAAGUGUGGGUAUCAAACAGGAUUAGAUACCCGGGUAGUC
rnacentral:rRNA from 1 species